CCUACGGGUGGCAGCAGUGAGGAAUAUUGGUCAAUGGCCGGAAGGCUGAACCAGCCAAGCCGCGUGAAGGACUAAGGUGCUAAGCAUUGUAAACUUCUUUUGUCAAGGGACAAAAUCAGGCUCGAGAGCCUGACCGCGGGUACUUGAAGAACACGCAUCGACUAACUCCGUGCAAGCAGCCGCGGUAAUACGGAGGAUGCGAGCGUUAUCGGAAUUUAUUGGGUUUAAGGGGUGGGUAGUGGGACUGUUAAGUCAGCGGUAAAAGCGCGGGGCUCAACCCCGGCGAGCCGUUGAUACUGGCUGUCGUGAGAAGUCGAGAGGGAUGCGGAAUGCGCGGUGUAGCAGUGAAAUGCUUAGAUAUUGCGAAGAACACCGAUUGCGAAGGCAGCAUACCGGCGGCGAACUGACGCUGAGGCACGAAGGCGAGGGUAUCGAACAGGAUUAGAUACCCCAGUAGUC
rnacentral:rRNA from 1 species